rnacentral:lncRNA from 1 species
AUCCAUACAAAACCAAAGCUGGAAGCCCAGGAAAUUAAUUAAGCAAAGGAAAAAACUUGCAAGCAAAAGGAAGCAAGACUUAUUUGAGAACACAACAUGGCUCCACAUGGAAAUCAGCACACUAAGAGAAAUAUACAGACAAAACUGCAUCAGAGGCACUUCUAGAGAUCUCCUUCAAUUUUCUUUCAGAUAAUGAGGAGGCAUUGAUUCAAACAGAAAGACCUGAUCUGUCCUUUGAAGCUAACCCUAAUUAAUAGAUGUGACCCUUUCAACAACAAC